ensembl:lncRNA
AAGCAUGCCUGACUCUAGGGACUUCCCUCUGAGGCACUGCAGCCCCACGGCUAAAGCCCUCUUAGCGAUGAGGGAGGGGGGGUGCGAUUGUGUCUGGGAGAUCGUCCACUUUCAACUUUCAGGAGAUGACCUCCACCAACAGCUGGUGCAGAAGCCGAACGGGAACAGGUGGGAGGGAACAUGAGGACAUCUGUGAUUGGACAAUGUAGCAUUCCACCAAUCACAUGCAAUCACAAACUGGUUUGUAGCCCAUCCAAGUAUCCCAUCCCUUUUCCUCCCCCCCUGGUCCCCUUUCCUCUCGCUUUUUCUGCCGGGGGGGGGGGGGGGGUAUGAUAAUCGACCACGAGACCAAACGUCCCUCCUGGUGCCUGCUGCAGACACAUCUCAGACUCAGACUGCCAGACCUGGAUAAGGCAUGCCAAUUGUUUCGCUUCAAGGUGCAUAACGAGAGACACCAGAAGGUGAGAUGUGGACGAGUGGUAAAAUGCUGAAGAUCAAAUUGAUUAGAACAGGACUGAGCAUUUCUGUGUUUUUUUCCCUUUCUGUGCCUUUCCUGUUUACUGUUUGCUGUUUAUUGUAUUUGAGUAUUUUAUUUUUACACAUUUGGAACCUAAGGCCAAGGCCAGCCAUGUUGGCUAUUUUGUUGAUCACUAGCAAUAAAUGAAGCUUUCACUGCAUCUGUCAUCUACCAUUUGUUUCUACUGUACAUUCCAUAAACUAAAGAUGACUCAUCCAUUUUUAGAUGGUAUGUUGAAAAAAAUGCACAUAUUCGAAACGCACUUUAAAAAAAUGCAGAGUGGUUCACAGUCAAAGGAAACCGAAUUAUAAAAAGAAAUGUAUGCAGGUCCCUUUAGAACUGAAACAUGAAAAGUAAUGCCGUUUUUGAAAUGCCAUCAACUGUUAGUACUUGAAAGUCUAUGAUUGACUGUAUGUUCCUCUUGGAUAGAAAACGUGUGCUAGUGUUUUAAAAGGAUGAUUUGAUAUUGAGUCGGGUUUGCCGUGUUUACAUAGAGUCACGAAUAUGAACAUGAAUUGUUUUUGCAUUUUGAAAUAUAGAGUUGGCAUUUGCUG